rnacentral:piRNA from 1 species
UAGACUCAUCUGUGCCUUGUGUAGCCU